GAGGGGCAGCGGGGUUGUAGCAAUACAACUGCCGGCGACCGGCGCACGGGUGAGUAACACGUAUGUAACCUGCCCUCUGCAGGGGGAUAAGCGGAAGAAAUUCCGUCUAAUACCGCAUAAUACAAUUUGGAGACAUCUCCGGGUUGUCAAAGGAGUGAUCCGGCAGAGGAUGGACAUGCGGCGCAUUAGCUAGUCGGCGGGGUAACGGCCCACCGAGGCUACGAUGCGUAGGGGUUCUGAGAGGAAGGUCCCCCACACUGGUACUGAGACACGGACCAGACUCCUACGGGAGGCAGCAGUGAGGAAUAUUGGUCAAUGGGCGGAAGCCUGAACCAGCCAAGUCGCGUGAGGGAAGACGGUCCUAUGGAUUGUAAACCUCUUUUGCAGGGGAGCAAGGCGCGGUACGUGUACCGCGAAGGAGAGUACCCUGAGAAAAAGCAUCGGCUAACUCCGUGCCAGCAGCCGCGGUAAUACGGAGGAUGCGAGCGUUAUCCGGAUUUAUUGGGUUUAAAGGGUGCGCAGGCGGACUGUUAAGUCAGCGGUAAAAUGUCGGUGCUCAACACCGGCCGGCCAUUGAAACUGGCAGCCUUGAGUGAGCGAGAAGUAUGCGGAAUGCGUGGUGUAGCGGUGAAAUGCA
rnacentral:rRNA from 1 species